CAAUAGAAUAGGAUUUCUCGAGGGUGGUCGGCACACUCCCAAGUUGAAAGGGGGUGGUGCUGUUUGACGGUAUUUGAAGCGUUGAUGUUUGCCGUAGCGUUUGCGACUUUAAUCAUCGCGGUGCUGUCGUUUCAUGAAAAAAAAUAAUCCACCCUUGAGUUAGCGGCUCAGGUGGAUUCGUCUAUCCUAUGGCCGAUCCCCUUGGAGGGAACCGUUUUAUUGCAUGACCGUCGAUGUUACCGCAUCGGCGG
rnacentral:sRNA from 1 species